GAGGAAAGUCCGGGCUUCACAGGGCAGGAUGCCGGAUAACGUCCGGUGGAGGCGACUCCCAGGAAAGUGCAACAGAAAUAAACCGCCAUAUAUCCGUAUAUGGUAAGGGUGGAAAGGCAGUGUAAGAGACUACCGCCGGCGCGGCGACGUACCGGGCACAUGUAAACCCCAUCCGAAGCAAGACCGAAAAGGAGCAUAAGGCGGCCCGUCUGCUCCAAGGUUGGCCGCUUGAGCCUGCCGGCAACGGCAGGUCUAGACAGAUGAUCAUUCACGACAUAACCCGGCUUAUCGUCCCGCUUG
rnacentral:RNase_P_RNA from 1 species